AUUGAACGCUGGCGGCAGGCCUAACACAUGCAAGUCGAAUGGUAACAGGAAACAGCUUGCUGUUUCGCUGACGAGUGGCGGACGGGUGAGUAAUGUCUGGGAAACUGCCUGAUGGAGGGGGAUAACUACUGGAAACGGUAGCUAAUACCGCAUAACGUCGCAAGACCAAAGAGGGGGACCUUCGGGCCUCUUGCCAUCAGAUGUGCCCAGAUGGGAUUAGCUAGUAGGUGGGGUAACGGCUCACCUAGGCGACGAUCCCUAGCUGGUCUGAGAGGAUGACCAGCCACACUGGAACUGAGACACGGUCCAGACUCCUACGGGAGGCAGCAGUGGGGAAUAUUGCACAAUGGGCGCAAGCCUGAUGCAGCCAUGCCGCGUGUAUGAAGAAGGCCUUCGGGUUGUAAAGUACUUCAGCGGGGAGGAAGGGAGUAAAGUUAAUACCUUUGCUCAUUGACGUUACCCGCAGAAGAAGCACCGGCUAACUCCGUG
rnacentral:rRNA from 1 species